rnacentral:misc_RNA from 1 species
AGUCGUAACAAGGUAACCGUAGGUGAACCUGCGGUUGGAUCAUUACCUAUUUUUGUGGUUUUAGUAACUUUCGGGUUACUACUACUACUACAAAGUCUCGCCUAGUGGUAAAAAAGCUAGGCUGAGACAACACCUCUCUGUGAACAUGUUUUAUUACUAUGGGUGGUUUAGUUGACUGGUAGUUUUUUCUACCUAGAUGCUACCACCCUAUAUAAACAUUUACCAUAGAAAAAUAGUUGGCUUGUUUUGGGUUGAUAUUUGGGUAACCACUUGUUGGUGGCCUAGGUAAAAACCAACUACAACCUACUAGAGAACGCCAGAGAAAAAACUAUUAAAAGUAAACAACUUUUGACAACGGAUCUCUUGGCUCUC